AAACACAAAUGACCGACGCCGUAUCCUGAUCCGAGCUCACUUUGCUCGAAUGACCAACGGUCAGUAUGUUUUUAUUACACCUGAUCACCUACCCCCAUCCAAUGUUGCAACCCCAUGGGUUACAGGACAAGAUGAUGAUCACUUGGCAAAGAAGGCAUACGAGCAUGUCCUACAGAUGACCGUUGCCGAGUCUGCAAGUGGCGAAUAUGAGCGGUUUCGGGAUUUGGUCGGCGAAAAAAUGGCAGAUGCUCCCUGGUUCUACAACACCACAGGAGAAAAAAGUCUUAGGGUGUGUAAGAGUAAAAAUUUAAAAGAUUAAG